UACGUAGGGGGCUAGCGUUGUCCGGAAUCAUUUGGCGUAAAGCGCGUGUAGGCGGUUCGGUAAGUCCGCUGUGAAAGUCGGGGGCUCAACCCUCGGAUGCCGGUGGAUACUGUCGGACUAGAGUGCGGAAGAGGCGAGUGGAAUUCCUGGUGUAGCGGUGAAAUGCGCAGAUAUCAGGAGGAACACCGAUUGCGAAGGCAGCUCGCUGGGACGUUACUGACGCUGAGACGCGAAAGCGUGGGGAGCAAACAGG
rnacentral:rRNA from 1 species